GGGCCGAUAGUCUAGCUGGCUAUGAUACCGCGCUUACACCGCGGUGGUCGGGGGUUCGAGUCCCUCUCGGCCCACCA
rnacentral:tRNA from 1 species